GGCAGUUCUCCAGUGAUGCACCCUACAAUUGGGCUCCCUCAUCCCCGGUUCCAGGUGCAUCACCCAAGAACCACA
rfam:Myotis davidii contig150329, whole genome shotgun sequence.